GAGCACGUAGGUGGGUUUGUAAGUCAGAUGUGAAAGCCUUCUGUUCAACGGAAGAAUUGCAUCUGAAACUGCGAGUCUUGAGUGUAGGAGGGGAGAAUGGAACUUCUGGUGGAGCGGUGAAAUGCGUAGAUAUCAGAAGGAACUCCGGCGGCGAAAGCGGCUCUCUGGCCUAUUACUGACACUCAGUGUGCGAAAGCUGGGGGAGCAAACGGGAUUAGAUACCCCGGUAGUCCUAGCCGUAAACGAUGGGCACUAAGUAGAGGGGUUUU
rnacentral:rRNA from 1 species